AAAGAAAUAGCACUUGAAUAUAAAAUUUUCUUUUUAAUUCUCAGCAAGUCAAUGUACUUCUACAGAAGGGUGCGCCCUUACAGAUGGAGCAAUGGUUGAGUGCACACCUGGACAAGGGAGGGGAAAGGGUUCUUAUCCCUGAUGCACAUGGCCCCUGCUGCUGUGUCAUUCCCCUAUUGGCUAGGGUUAGACCACACAGGCCAAACUAACUCCAACUGGCUAAUUUAAAGAGAGUGACAGGGUGAGUGGUUUGGCGGGAAAAAUGGUUAUGGCAGAGCAGGAAAUCGGAAUGAGUCAGGAUGGAGCAGGUAAUCGAAAAAGGUUGCUUUAUGAGGAAGUUAAGUUUACAAGUAGAAGGCAAAGAAUUGAACAUACUGACAUACUGAUUCUUUAAAGAGAAAUUUAGAACUCAUAUCUAACACACUGAUGGCUAUAGCAUAUCCUCUGUCCUUUUUCCUAUCUAUUGGAGGAGGAGACUUAGGUGAGACCUCCGUUUCCUGUUAUUUUGACCCAGUGAUAUUGGGACUGAGGGAAGAGGAGGUGAUAAGGCAGGUGACAUUUUCUCCUCCUUCCUCUUUUUAGGCUCUUCUGUGUGUAACUGAGCCAGGGCUGCUCUAAUUAAAGCCCAUAACAUUAAAGAUUUUACUGGGACCUGAUGCCUUUGCACCUGAUGUUGUUUAAGAUUUCUCCCCACUUGUUCCCAGAGUUCUACAUCUAGUGUUCUUUCCUCUGGGAACCAUGGGCUUUGUACUCCAUUAUUGACCACACUAGUUUUUAAUUCCUUCAACAACUGAAAUUCUAGUGGGGUGUGUUCAUGAAUAAACUGCUGUGGAUUAUUGGGAUCAGGCCUUAUGGAAACAGGAACAGCGCAAGGUCCUAAGGGCUCUCCAGCUAUGACAGCAGAGCGUAAAAUUCUUUGUAUUGGGGUUUCUAUUUGUGCUACUGAAGGAGGCAGUACAGAUGUUUCUGCAAUUGGAGGAGGCGGUAUAGGCCAAUUUUUAUCCUCUCUGUUUUUUAUUUUCAAUUGGAGCUGUGGGUGGGACAACAUAUUCUUUCAGAUUUUUAGAUUCAGGCUGUUGUCCCACAGAAUAAUAAGGAGAUAAUGGUAGAAGUACAGUACAAACUAAACUCCAAGUGGAGAAAACAGAAGAAUCAACUAAGAAUCAGCUAAGACCUUUUUGAUGAGCCUGUUUUAAUCCUUCUCCUGCUUUGUCUCAAUUUUCCAUAUCAAGGAUGCCUGCCUGUGGGAACCAUGGGUUAUGCGUAAUAACCUUUUGUGGCUUCUGCAGGAGGUUAGUGUCUGCGAAUUAACCUAAGCUCCAGACUGUCUCUACAGAACUUUAAGCAACUGCACAUAAUGUUUUUCUUCAAUAGACAAAUUCUUCCCCUUGUUAGCCUGAUUCAGAAAACUUCCUGUUCCUAGUACUUCUUUAAAGCACUGCUCCCAGUACCUCUUUACGGCACUGAUCAGUACCUCUUUAGGGCACUGACCUUAUCUCUGCUGCUGGCAGACUCGUUUCGGGGUCCCCAUUCGCCUUGUCAAUUUCAGUUCCUCUGCUCCAGCGGACUUUCUUCAUUCAUGUCCUCGAAGUCCUGUGUUCGGAUGCCACUAUGCAGAGCACCCGAUCCUGUUGCUGUUUGGGGUGCCACUUGUAACCUGCAUGGACCUCGGGGGACUGAACAAAGGGGGGCGAAUGUGGGAAUAAAAGACAAGACACAAAAGAGUAUAUUUGGAAGAAGAGGUCAAGGGGCAUCUUGCCUCUAGUGGACAAGGGCCGUGAGCUUUACACAGCCCUCUGUAUUUAUUAGGUGAAAGAGACAGCAAGAAAGUGGGAGGAUGGUUGUCGGGUAAUUGUCAGUCAGCCGUUUGGUUCACAGCGGGCUUGUGAACAAUAGGGCUGUUAGGAGGAGUAAGUGAAAUCAGACAUACAAAGCAUUUAGCUCAGCUCAACCAACGCUCAUUCUCGCCUUGUCCCCACUGCAUAGCCCCUAACCCCAAAUAUCCCAACAUAGCUCAUAACAAUAAGAUUCUUGUUUCCCCAACAUGUUUAAUUUUAAGAAUAGAGAUAAUGGUCAACUCUUGAGAAGAAC
rnacentral:lncRNA from 10 species